rnacentral:rRNA from 1 species
UACGAAGGGGGCUAGCGUUGUUCGGAAUUACUGGGCGUAAAGGGCGCGUAGGCGGUGUGUCAAGUCAGGCGUGAAAGCCCCGGGCUCAACCUGGGAACCGCGCUUGAGACUGGCACGCUAGAGUUCGGGAGAGGAUGGUGGAAUUCCCAGUGUAGAGGUGAAAUUCGUAGAUAUUGGGAAGAACACCGAUGGCGAAGGCAGCCAUCUGGACCGACACUGACGCUGAGGCGCGAAAGCGUGGGGAUCAAACAGG